AAUCAACGCUGGCGGCGUGCCUCAGACAUGCAAGUCGAACGCGAAAGUUUCCUUCGGGGAACAAGUAGAGUGGCGCACGGGUGAGUAACACGUAGGUAAUCUACCUUUGGAUGGGGAAUAACAACCGGAAACGGUUGCUAAUACCGCAUAAUGCAGCGGCACCUAAUGGUGACAGUUGUUAAAGCGGGGGAUCGAAAGACCUCGCGUCUGAAGAGGAGCCUGCGGCGGAUUAGCAGUUGGUAAGGUAAUGGCUUACCAAGGCGACGAUCCGUAACCGGCCUGAGAGGGCGGUCGGUCACACUGACACUGACAUACGGGUCAGACUCCUACGGGAGGCAGCAGUCGGGAAUUUGGGCAAUGGGCG
rnacentral:rRNA from 1 species